GAGUGCGGCGGCUACACAUGCAGUCGAGCGAAUGGAUUAAGAGCUUGCUCUUAUGAAGUUAGCGGCGGACGGGUGAGUAACGCGUGGGUAACCUGCCCAUAAGAGUGGAAUAACUCCGGGAAACCGGGGCUAAUACCGGAUAAGAUUUUGAACCGCAUGGUUCGAAAUUGAAAGGCCGCUUCGGCUGUCACUUAUGGAUGGACCCGCGUCGCAUUAGCUAGUUGGUGAGGUAACGGCUCACCAACGCAACUAUGCGUAGCCGACCUGAGAGGGUGAUCGGCCACACUGGGACUGAGACACGGCCCAGACUCCUACGGGAGGCAACAUUAGGGAAUCUUCCGCAAUGGACGAAAGUCUGACGGAGCAACGCCGCGUGAGUGAUGAAGGCUUUCGGGUCGUAAAACUCUGUUGUUAGGGAAGAACAAGUGCUAGUUGAAUAAGCUGGCACCUUGACGGUACCUAACCAGAAAGCCACGGCUAACUACCUGCCAGCAGCCGCGGUAAUACGUAGGUGGCAAGCGUUAUCCGGAAUUAUUGGGCGUAAAGCGCGCGCAGGUGGUUUCUUAAGUCUGAUGUGAAAGCCCACGGCUCAACCGUGGAGGGUCAUUGGAAACUGGGAGACUUGAGUGCAGAAGAGGAAAGUGUAAUUCCAUGUGUAGCGGUGAAAUGCGUAGAGAUAUGGAGGAACACCAGUGGCGAAGGCGACUUUCUGGUCUGUAACUGACACUGAGGCGCGAAAGCGUGGGGAGCAAACCGAUUAGAUCCCCUGGUAGUCCA
rnacentral:rRNA from 1 species